rnacentral:rRNA from 1 species
CCUACGGGGGGCAGCAGUGAGGAAUAUUGGUCAAUGGGCGCGAGCCUGAACCAGCGAAGUAGCGUGAAGGAUGACUGCCCUACGGGUUGUAAACUUCUUUUAUAAAGGAAUAAAGUGAGGCACGUGCGCCUUUUUGUAUGUACUUUAUCAAUAAGGAUCGGCUAACUCCGUGCCAGCAGCCGCGGUAAUACGGAGGAUCCGAGCGUUAUCCGGAUUUAUUGGGUGUAAAGGGAGCGUAGAUGGGUUGUUAAGUCAGUUGUGAAAGUUUGGGGCUCAACCGUAAUAUUGCAAUUGAUACUGGCAGUCUUGAGUACAGUAGAGGUAAGCGGAAUUCGUGGUGUAGCGGUGAAAUGCUUAGAUAUCACGAAGAACUCCGAUUGCGAAGGCAGCUUACUAGACUGCAACUGACGUUGAGGCUCGAAAGUGUGGGUAUCAAACAGGAUUAGAUACCCUAGUAGUC